GCGUUCGGCAUCGCGCCCCGCUCGGGGGCUAGGCGGCCCCGGGCGAGCGGCGGAGGCUGCGCGCCGGGCUUGGGCGCAGGGACGGCGGCCCGAGGGCCAUGGGUGGUGCGCUUGUCCCGUGUGAAUCGUUCGGGACUCCUGACUCUGCCGGCUUCUCUCGCUUUCUGUUCUGUGUACAUUGUGGUGGGAUCGGCUGCAAAGAACAGCGUAACUACCGGGGACGGACCAGGAGAGGAACAGAGUUCAGCAGAAAGAAUCGGUGCCCCACGAGAAAAGGCCAGGCAUCCCUCCAGCUCCUCCUGGCUAGCCUCUGCCCCGCAUUUUCCUAGAAAAAACGUGCAGAAGGGAUGGACAGACUGGCAACCUUAGCUUCAGGCUAAAAAGCAACCCUGAGAGUAUUGGGCAAAAGAUCCAGGAAAGAAGAGGAUUUAAUAGGAAACCUUAUUCUUGUAACGCAGUCGUAUUCAGCUUUCUGUAAAUGCAUUCUGAUGACUCCAAAUUCCGCUAAUUUUUACAUCGUUUUUAGAGAGCACUUUCCCAAAUUGGACAUAGAACAAGAAAUACUCAGUAGAACGGUCACUAUCUUCCUGAUGACCAGAGGGGCGGGUGUCGCAGGCCCCCUCCCCUUCCCGUUACGCGUUAGCACCUGUGUCUGGCAUGUGACGCUGGCUGAAGCUGGGCUUUUAGCUGGGGCUGUCAUCUGCUGUACUUGAACAUGUCCUCUCCAGGCGGCUGAUGCUUCUUCACAGCAUGGUGGCUGGCUUCCAACAGUCCCAGGAGACCAAGUCGGGCUAUGUCACCUUUUCUAACCUAGCUUCGGAGCACCUGCGGUCUCCCUCCCACCACAACCUGUUACAGAGUCGCAAAGGCCCAGUCAGUUCGAGAGGACAGGAAAUAGACUCCAGCUCUUGAUGGAAAAGAGGCAAGAUUCUGGUGGCACGUAAGGAUCGCAAACACCGUUGCAGCCAUUUUGGGAAAUCCAAUCUAUCAAAACCAGCAGCAAAUAAAUUUAAUUUUCAUAAAACAUAAGGGCGCCAAAAUCAUAAAAUACAUGGGGAAAAAUUCACGAAAGAUGUGCAAGACCUCCACAUUGAAAACAAGGGACCCAAAGAAGACAAUCAAAGACAUUACCUGAUCUCAAGUCUUAUUGUCGUGCUAAUGCUGAUCAAGACAGUGUAGUGUAGACACAUGUGCACAGACACGUCACUGAAACAGAAUAGAGAGUCCAGAAAUACCACUAAAUAACUCUGACAAAGGCACCCGAACAAUUCAAUAGGGAAAAUAAAGUCUUUUCGAUAAA